rnacentral:rRNA from 1 species
GAUGAACGCUGGCGGCGUGCCUAACACAUGCAAGUCGAGCGAACGGACGAGAAGCUUGCUCCUCUGAUGUUAGCGGCGGACGGGAGAGUAACAUGUGGACAACCUACCUACAAGACUGGGAUAAUUUUGGGAAACCGUAGCUAAUACCGGAUAAUAUUUUGAACCGCAUGGUUCAAAAGUGAAAGACGGUCUUGCUGUCACUUAUAGAUGGAUCCGCGCUGCAUUAGCUAGUUGGUAAGGUAACGGCUUACCAAGGCAACGAUGCAUAGCCGACCUGAGAGGGUGAACAGCCACACUGGAACUGAGACACAGUCCAGACUCCUACGGGAGGCAGCAGUAGGGAAUCUUCCGCGAGGGGCGAAAGCCUGAUGUAGCAACGCCGCGUGAAUGAUGAAGGACUUCGGAUGGUAAAGCUCUGUUGUUAGGAAAGAAGAUAUGUGUAAGUAACUGUGCAGAUCUUGACGGUACCUGAACAAAAAGCCACGGCUAACUACGUG